GAUGAAGAACGUAGCGAAAUGCGAUAAGUAAUGCGAAUUGCAGAGUUUUGUGAGUCAUCGAAUCUUUGAACGCACAUUGCGCCCCUCGGUAUUCCGACGGGCAUGCCUGUCCGAGCGUCGUUUGCACCAAUCGAGUCACACAUUGUUCUCGGUCUUGGGCGCCGUCCCUCCCCUGGGGGCGACGGGCCUCAAACCCCUCGGCGGCGCCGAGUGCCCGCCGGAGCGUCUUCGAACAGCAACCGCUCCGCGCGCGGCCUCGGGGCUCGCCGGGAGAAAACCCCCCAAAGUUUGACCUCGGAUCAGGUAGGGCUACCCGCUGAACUUAAGCAUAUCAAUAAGCGGAGGA
rnacentral:misc_RNA from 1 species